UGAGUGUAACACGACCAGUGUGAAAGUUUUUUGAUGUUCGAAUAAUGAGAUUGUAUUUCUAAGAAGAUCUGGCACAGAGUUGGAGAUGUACCUCUCAGGAGAUCAUUUGGUGAAGUGAGUGGACCAUCUAUAUUGAUUGGAUCCGAUAUGAGAGAAAUGAAGCUAUCAACACAACUUCUUCCUCUGCGAAAUCCAUAUUG